AUGGCGUUUCUGGGAGGAUCGCUGCAAGUUGACAGCCGGAAGAUGAUGGAGGAGAAGAGGCGGAGCCACGACGGGUCGUGGCGGCAGGCGCCGGCGCCCGUGAGGCAGCUGUUCUGGAGGGUGAGGCGCGCCAUGCUACGGCCGAAGCGCCGCGCCGUGAGUUUCGGGUACGACCUCAAGAGCUACUCCCAGAACUUCGACGACGGUCUCGUCCCUGCCCAGCGCCUCUAG
rnacentral:rRNA from 1 species